UGGGGAAUAUUGCACAAUGGGCGCAAGCCUGAUGCAGCCAUGCCGCGUGUGUGAAGAAGGCCUUCGGGUUGUAAAGCACUUUCAGCGAGGAGGAAGGGUUCAGUGUUAAUAGCACUGUGCAUUGACGUUACUCGCAGAAGAAGCACCGGCUAACUCCGUGCCAGCAGCCGCGGUAAUACGGAGGGUGCAAGCGUUAAUCGGAAUUACUGGGCGUAAAGCGCACGCAGGCGGUUUGUUAAGUCAGAUGUGAAAUCCCCGCGCUUAACGUGGGAACUGCAU
rnacentral:rRNA from 1 species